rfam:Salmo salar isolate Sally breed double haploid chromosome ssa11, whole genome shotgun sequence.
GGCAUGGUGGCCAAGUGGUAAGGUGUUGGUCUUGUAAACCGAAGUUCAUGGGUUCAUAUCCCUUCUGUGCCU